GUGUAAUAAUAAUUCCAAAUGUACUCAGCAAGUUGCAAACUUCACAGGGGCACCUGUAGAAGUGUGAACUGUUCAACCUGCACAGUCCUGACCUGUUUAAGGACUAUGAAUGCUGGCCAGCCACUCUUUGUGUGGGGAUGUUUUUUCCUGAUCCUUGCCAGUAACCGGACACCUGAAUACCAGGGCUUAAAAAGAAUCAGGAACCAGGGUAGUAAAAGUGAAACUGUAACUCCAGCACAACAGAGGAGUGUCUGACACAUGUUGCAGGUCAUUGAGGCAACUUGGUUUUGCUGAGCCCUGGCUGAAGAAGUCACUGCUCCACAGGAAACAGUGUGUGAAGGAGAAGCUGAUCCCUCUGGAAAUGGAGCAUCCUCUCAGCUUUGCUGCAGUCCAGCCAUGAACUGCCAGGGCAGUGAAGAAUUCAGGCAUGUGGAACUGGGAGUGACACAACAAAUAACUGAAAAGGCCAACUCUGAAUGUCCAGAAACUUUGAGGCUGGGAAGGAAAAACCCAUUCUCUUCUAAAAAAGAUCCUCCCUUCAGACUGUCCUUUUCUACCUUUGCAAGGCGUGGAGACACUUGGAAUUGAAUCAAUGUCUCAGUUACAUGCUCUAAAGACCACGUCAAUUCUGCUCUGGAAUACUUAUUUCAAACAAUAUCAUCAAAAAUCCUGACUGAAGGAUGAAUUGGACCUUUAAAGCUCUGCUUGUUUCACAAUGAAUGUCACUGUAGUAAAGCCAAAAUUGGCAGUUCAAGGGAAAAAUGAAAGCAAGGCUCCAGACUCCGAGGAUCCUGGAAGCUCCAGCAGCCUGAACA